ACAUUGGUGGUUCAGUAAUAGAAUUCUUGCCUUCCACGUGGGAGACCCGGGCUCGAUUUCUGGCCGAUGCA
rnacentral:tRNA from 1 species